AACCCCUAAAAUGUUCCAUUUGGGGGGGGGGAGCGCUUGAGGCGUGGCUUGCCGGAGCUAACGCGUUAAAUCGACCGCCUGGGGAGUACGGCCGCAAGGUUAAAACUCAAAUGAAUUGACGGGGGCCCGCACAAGCGGUGGAGCAUGUGGUUUAAUUCGAUGCAACGCGAAGAACCUUACCUGGUCUUGACAUCCACAGAACUUUCCAGAGAUGGAUUGGUGCCUUCGGGAACUGUGAGACAGGUGCUGCAUGGCUGUCGUCAGCUCGUGUUGUGAAAUGUUGGGUUAAGUCCCGCAACGAGCGCAACCCUUAUCCUUUGUUGCCAGCGGUCCGGCCGGGAACUCAAAGGAGACUGCCAGUGAUAAACUGGAGGAAGGUGGGGAUGACGUCAAGUCAUCAUGGCCCUUACGACCAGGGCUACACACGUGCUACAAUGGCAUAUACAAAGAGAAGCGACCUCGCGAGAGCAAGCGGACCUCAUAAAGUAUGUCGUAGUCCGGAUUGGAGUCUGCAACUCGACUCCAUGAAGUCGGAAUCGCUAGUAAUCGUAGAUCAGAAUGCUACGGUGAAUACGUUCCCGGGCCUUGUACACACCGCCCGUCACACCAUGGGAGUGGGUUGCAAAAGAAGUAGGUAGCUUAACCUUCGGGAGGGCGCUUACCACUUUGUGAUUCAUGACUGGGGUGAAGUCGUAACAAGGGUAACGGA
rnacentral:rRNA from 1 species